AUACGUAGGUGACAAGCGUUAUCCGGAUUUACUGGGCGUAAAGGGCGUGUAGGCGGUCUUGCAAGUCAGAAGUGAAAUUCCUGAGCUCAACUCGGGCGCUGCUUCUGAAACUGCAGGACUUGAGUGCUGGAGGGGAUAGCGGAAUUCCUAGUGGAGCGGUAAAAUGCGCAGAUAUUAGGAAGAACACCGGUGGCGAAGGCGGCUAUCUGGACAGUAACUGACGCUGAGGCGCGAAAGUGUGGGGAGCAAACAGGAUUAGAUACCCUGGUAGUCCACACUGUAAACGAUGAAUGCCAGGUGUUGCGGGUAUCGACCCCUGCAGUGCCGGAGUAAACACAAUAAGCAUUCCGCCUGGGGAGUACGGCCGCAAGGUUGAAACUCAAAGGAAUUGACGGGG
rnacentral:rRNA from 1 species